UCUCCGUAGGUGAACCUGCGGAGGGAUCAUUACAGAGUUCAUGCCCUACCGGGUAGAUUUCCCACCCUAUGUUAUUAUUACUUUGUUGCUUUGGCGGGCCGUUAGGCUCCGGCCCGACUACCGGCCCCGGCUGGUAAGCGCCCGCCAGAGGACCCAAAACCCUGAUUAUUAGUGUCGUCUGAAUACUAUAUAAUAGUUAAAACUUUCAACAACGGAUCUCUUGGUUCUG
rnacentral:misc_RNA from 1 species